rnacentral:lncRNA from 9 species
UGUUUGGCCAGGGCUGGUCAGUAUGGCAUAUGUUCAUGUGCCGAUGUGAUGGGUAAUUUCACGUGUCAACUUGAGCAGGCUAAGAGGCUGACUUGCUGCCUCAUACCCCAAUCUAGAUGUUGCUGUGAAGCACAAGGGAGUUUCCAGGCUAGUGGUCAAAUCAAAGCCACAGCUGCCAGCCUACAUCACAGCUCACAGCAAUGCCAAACCUGAACCCACUGAGCAAGGCCAGGGAUCGAACCUGAAUCCUCAGAGAUACUCCUCGGACGCGUUUCUGCUGUGCCACGACAGGAACUCCCUCCCACUUCAUGAUCUUAUUUAAUCCUUGUAACCUUCCUGCAAGGUGGAUAUUUGAAUUUCCAUUUUGCUGAUGAGGAAACGGGCUCAGAGACGUAAGAAACCUGACUCAAGUUCACCUGGCUGUGUUUAGCGGAAGUUCAUGACUGUUGCUGUCCAUCUGGUUCUCGUUCUCCUGCCCAGAGUUGCCUCCCCUGUUGGCACCUUUGAAGAUGCAGGUUUCAGAGUGUCUGGUCAGAGUAAAAUGUGGGGAGCUAGGAAAGAUGAGAGUAGCCUUAGAAGAAAAAUAGACUGGAAGGACUAGACUUUCUCUUUUCUUUUUCUUUUUUUUUUUUUUGUCUUUUUUGUUGUUGUUGUUGCUAUUUCUUGGGCCGCUCCCACGGCAUAUGGAGGUUCCCAGGCUAGGGGUCCAAUCGGAGCUGUAGCCACCGGCCUACGCCAGAGCCACAGCAACUCGGGAUCCGAGCCGCGUCUGCAACCUACACCACAGCUCACGGCAACGCUGGAUCGUUAACCCACUGAGCAAGGGCAGGGACCGAACCCGCAACCUCAUGGUUCCUAGUCUGAUUCGUUAACCACUGCGCCACGAUGGGAACUCCCUUUUCUAUUUCACAGUGGAUACUAUGUUCUCUUCCAUGAGGAACCAUAAUUCAGUCAAGAGAUCUGAAAAUCACCUUUCUGUAAAACACCUUUGCCAGCUGCUCUGGGUAGUGCCAGUAGAGGGCACUAGAGCAUGGCUGGGAGAGGAAAAAAGAUGUGCCUGUUGCCUUGUCUGCUCCCACGGCCUCUCAGCAUGGCCCCAGCAAUGCUUCUUCUUUAUCUUGGCAGGGUCAG